rnacentral:rRNA from 1 species
AUGAGUGCUAAGUGUUAGAGGGUUUCCGCCCUUUAGUGCUGCAGCUAACGCAUUAAGCACUCCGCCUGGGGAGUACGGUCGCAAGACUGAAACUCAAAGGAAUUGACGGGGGCCCGCACAAGCGGUGGAGCAUGUGGUUUAAUUCGAAGCAACGCGAAGAACCUUACCAGGUCUUGACAUCCUCUGACAACCCUAGAGAUAGGGCUUUCCCCUUCGGGGGACAGAGUGACAGGUGGUGCAUGGUGGUCGUCAGCUCGUGUCGUGAGAUGUUGGGUUAAGUCCCGCAACGAGCGCAACCCUUGAUCUUAGUUGCCAGCAUUCAGUUGGGCACUCUAAGAUGACUGCCGGUGACAAACCGGAGGAAGGUGGGGAUGACGUCAAAUCAUCAUGCCCCUUAUGACCUGGGCUACACACGUGCUACAAUGGACGGUACAAAGGGCUGCAAGACCGCGAGGUUUAGCCAAUCCCAUAAAACCGUUCUCAGUUCGGAUUGUAGGCUGCAACUCGCCUACAUGAAGCUGGAAUCGCUAGUAAUCGCGGAUCAGAAUGCCGCGGUGAAUACGUUCCCGGGCCUUGUACACACCGCCCGUCACACCACGAGAGUUUGUAACACCCGAAGUCGGUGAGGUAACCUUGGAG